UCCCUUCUCUAAUAUAUCCUUAUGGAAUUUUCAAAUAAUCCAUUUCCUCCUAUGACAUAUAGCCUUUUAAUAUGUGAUUUUAGACAUAUGAAAUCCAUACUCUAAGGAUUUCCCAAACAUGUGGUAAGAAACAUUGGCCUGCAGUUGUUUAGUAACUCUUCCCUUGCAUGAUAAUGCCUGGGCUCAGAGGGCACUAAUAGGCCUUCCUGGCCCCAACCAGCCUCACCUGGGCCCAUACCCCUGGGUCCCAUUUAAGCUCAGCCUCAGGCUGUUAACCCUUCACUGAGUUAGGAGGGCUUUGCUCUGUCCCCUGGUAUGUCAGGGGUUGUGUCUGAGCCCCAUUACUGGCCCCCAACUGCUGCCUGUCUUGUUUGGGCCCUGGGGGACCCUGCCCAGUAGGCCCAGGUCUGGCUGCUGCCUCCUUCCCUGAGAAGAGCAGCCAUCUUCGUGCUGGGUCUUGACAGGAAGUAAAGAGACAUUGAACUCCUUCAGACUUCAACAGCAAUGUAACAAAAUGGAGACAGAUAUAAGGAACGUAUCAAGACUACAGAAGACACAUUGCAGCCUAUUCUACUAUUAAACAGGAGCGAUAUGAAAGAAAACCAAGGGAGAAGAUUAAUAUCUGUGAACUUCAUAAUGUGACCCAGUUAUUUAGAAAAGAUCUUUAUUCUCUUGGACAGAAUGCAAGGAACACCAUUUCUCUUUUCAUUGAGUCUUUCUUCUACUGCCUUUUUCUGAUUCCUGCAUAACUUCUACAGUGUGACACAGCCAUGUGAUUUCUGCUGCAUCAUUUUUCUUCUGGUUGCAACAAAGAGAAGAAAUAUUUACUUGUAAGUGUCUGUAUCUAGGGGGAUACAUUUCGGCAGAUACUUUUCCUGGUAUUAAAUAAUCAGAGUUGCCUAAACAGAACUGUGGUUUGAGAAACUCUUUGCAGUCGGAAGAUGGCUUUUCAUCCUUCUAAGAUAUCUUGCCUGCCUAUCUGCGCCAUAAGUGUUGCUUGAAUGAACAUGUCCAUGUUGCACACAAUUGGAAAGGAAAAUAGUGUUCUAGCUAAGUGUACCCAGCAGGAAUUUGUAACUGUAAUGUGUUCACUCUCUAGAGUAUUUUAAAGGGUUUUCAGAUCCUUUACAAAAGGAAAGAAUUGGGCUCCAGCUUAAGCAGUUCAAGUUAUGUUCAAGUCUACAGAGGUGAAAGUCCUCUGCUAGAGGACUAGUUCUUUAGCUGAAAAUGAAUGAAAGUAGCUCACACCUUUAUGAGAUGAAUAGGGAAGAAAUAAUUUACGUAAUUUAAACUGAACAGUACAGGUUUUAAAGGACCUCUGGAGGUCAUCUGGUCCAACCCUCCAGCUCAGGCAGAGCCAGGUGACAAGGACCAUGCCCAGACAGCUCUUGAAGAUCUCUGAGGAGUGAGACCAGACUCCACAACCUCUCUGGGCAGCCUGUGCCAGUGCUGUCACCCGCACAGUGAAAAAAAUGUUUCCUGUUAUUCAGACAUGUCCUGUCACUGAGUACUACUGAAACCAGACUGGCUUCAUCUUCU
rnacentral:lncRNA from 1 species